rnacentral:rRNA from 1 species
GACGAACGCUGGCGGCGUGCUUAACACAUGCAAGUCGAACGGAAAGGCCCUGCUUUUGUGGGGUGCUCGAGUGGCGAACGGGUGAGUAACACGUGAGUAACCUGCCCUUGACUUUGGGAUAACUUCAGGAAACUGGGGCUAAUACCGGAUAGGAGCUCCUGCUGCAUGGUGGGGGUUGGAAAGUUUCGGCGGUUGGGGAUGGACUCGCGGCUUAUCAGCUUGUUGGUGGGGUAGUGGCUUACCAAGGCUUUGACGGGUAGCCGGCCUGAGAGGGUGACCGGCGACAUUGGGACUGAGAGACGGACCAGAGUCCUACGGGAGGCAGCAGUGGGGAAUAUUGCACAGUGGGCGGAAGCCUGAUGAAGCAACGCCGCGUGCGGGAUGACGGCCUUCGGGUUGUAAACCGCUUUCGCCUGUGACGAAGCGUGAGUGACGGUAAUGGGUGAAGAAGCACCGGCUAACUACGUG